UACGAAGGGGGCUAGCGUUGCUCGGAAUCACUGGGCGUAAAGGGCGCGUAGGCGGGAUGGCAAGUCAGUCGUGAAAUCUCUCGGCUCAACCGAGAAACGUCGGCUGAUACUGCCGUUCUUGAGGGAUGCAGAGGAGACUGGAAUUCCCGGUGUAGCGGUGAAAUGUGUAGAGAUCGGGAGGAACACCGGUGGCGAAGGCGGGUCUCUGGGCAUCUCCUGACGCUGAGGCGCGAAAGCGUGGGGAGCAAACGGG
rnacentral:rRNA from 1 species